GGGGGGAGCAAGCGUUUGUUCGGAAUUACUGGGCGUAAAGGGCGCGUAGGCGGCCUAGUAAGUCGAGUGUGAAAUGCCGGGGCUUAACCCCGUGCACUGCAUUCGAUACUGCCUGGCUAGAGAAAGGUAGAGGCGAGCGGAAUUCCCGGUGUAGCGGUGGAAUGCGUAGAUAUCGGGAAGAACACCUGUGGCGAAGGCGGCUCGCUGGGCCUUAUCUGACGCUGAAGCGCGAAAGCGUGGGGAGCAAACAGGAUUAGAUACCCUGGUAGUCCACGCCGUAAACGCUGGGUACUAGGUGUCGGGAGGCUUGGCCCCUCUCGGUGUCGACGCUAACGCAUUAAGUACCCCGCCUGGGGAGUACGGUCGCAAGGCUG
rnacentral:rRNA from 1 species